GCUAAAAGGUUAAAAGAUCAUAUGCGAUAGGUAUGGCGUAGAAGGAACCAGUUGCGAGAAUGUUUUCACUUGAGCGUUGACGAAGCUGUGUUUAUUUGAUUAGAAUAACGAUAACCAUCGUCACGGAGAAGUCACAAAAAAUGCUCAAAGUGGCUAAGGUGAAAAACAAAGCACCCGAGAAAAUUUAAAUCAUAGCAAAACAGCUAUUAAGAGAAACAAAGAAAAAAAUCUUUAUGCAAUAAUGUUAAACCUAUCUAUAAUUUUACAUAGAGAACAAUUCAUUUGUAAGUAUUCCCUUUUAGCCACCUAAGCAGAAAAUAAAAUAUCCCCAUAAAUUGGCUGAUUAUCAAUAUGGAAAAUGAAAUAUCUAUGACUACAAUAUGUGUAAGAAUCAUAUGGUUAUAACGAAUCUGAUGGAAUAUGCCCGAUGGGAAAAAAGUCAGAAACAAUGCAAAGAGCAAGAUACUUUAAAUAUAAAAAAUAGUACAUUUUAUAGUUUUAGUUGUAUUAGAAAUAUUUCAAGGUUUUAUGUGUCCAAUUUAUUUUAAAUCUGUAUAUGAACGUGCGCUAGAUGUUGAUCAUAGAAACAUUACAUUAUGGCUAUAUUAUAUUGAAAUAGAAAUGCGCAAUAAUUA